rnacentral:rRNA from 1 species
UACGUAGGUGACGAGCGUUAUCCGGAAUUACUGGGCGUAAAGCGCACGCAAGCGGUCUGACAAGUCUGGCGUGAAAUUCUCUGGCUUAACCAGGGGGGGUCGCUGGAAACUGGUGGACUCGAGUCCCGGAGAGGAGAGUGGAAUUCCUGGUGUAGCGGUGAAAUGCGUAGAUAUCAGGAGGAACACCGGUGGCGAAGGCGGCUCUCUGGACGGUGACUGACGCUGAGACGCGAAAGCGUGGGGAGCAAACAGG